AUGUUACUCUUAUUUUCUUGUUGCAGAAACAGCUUCAGUGAUCAGGAGUCCAUAAAAUCAUCAAUGAUCCACAACCAGCCACAAGCCAGGAUGGAAAAGAGUAGCCAUAGAGACAGCUCAGGAAGCAGAAUGAGCACUCUUUUCAGAAGGCUAUGGAGUACAGCCUUGAUCGAGAUUUAAAUCUUUAAAGAAGAAGUUAUGGAUCAGCUUGGAAUAAGUUGUAUGCAAUAAAUCAUUGAGGCCACAGAGUACUCA
rnacentral:lncRNA from 1 species